rnacentral:tRNA from 1 species
GCCCAGAUAGCUCAGGUAGUUAGAGCAUCCGCCUGAAGAGCGGGGGGUGGUCAGUGCAAGUCUGACUCUGGGCACCG